rnacentral:rRNA from 2 species
AGCGUACACGGUGGAUGCCCUGGCAGUCAGAGGCGAUGAAGGACGUGCUAAUCUGCGAUAAGCGUCGGUAAGGUGAUAUGAACCGUUAUAACCGGCGAUUUCCGAAUGGGGAAACCCAGUGUGAUUCGUCACACUAUCAUUAACUGAAUCCAUAGGUUAAUGAGGCGAACCGGGGGAACUGAAACAUCUAAGUACCCCGAGGAAAAGAAAUCAACCGAGAUUCCCCCAGUAGCGGCGAGCGAACGGGGAGCAGCCCAGAGCCUGAAUCAGUGUGUGUGUUAGUGGAAGCGUCUGGAAAGGCGCGCGAUACAGGGUGACAGCCCCGUACACAAAAAUGCACAUGCUGUGAGCUCGAUGAGUAGGGCGGGACACGUGGUAUCCUGUCUGAAUAUGGGGGGACCAUCCUCCAAGGCUAAAUACUCCUGACUGACCGAUAGUGAACCAGUACCGUGAGGGAAAGGCGAAAAGAACCCCGGCGAGGGGAGUGAAAAAGAACCUGAAACCGUGUACGUACAAGCAGUGGGAGCACGCUUAGGCGUGUGACUGCGUACCUUUUGUAUAAUGGGUCAGCGACUUAUAUUCUGUAGCAAGGUUAACCGAAUAGGGGAGCCGAAGGGAAACCGAGUCUUAACUGGGCGUUAAGUUGCAGGGUAUAGACCCGAAACCCGGUGAUCUAGCCAUGGGCAGGUUGAAGGUUGGGUAACACUAACUGGAGGACCGAACCGACUAAUGUUGAAAAAUUAGCGGAUGACUUGUGGCUGGGGGUGAAAGGCCAAUCAAACCGGGAGAUAGCUGGUUCUCCCCGAAAGCUAUUUAGGUAGCGCCUCGUGAAUUCAUCUCCGGGGGUAGAGCACUGUUUCGGCAAGGGGGUCAUCCCGACUUACCAACCCGAUGCAAACUGCGAAUACCGGAGAAUGUUAUCACGGGAGACACACGGCGGGUGCUAACGUCCGUCGUGAAGAGGGAAACAACCCAGACCGCCAGCUAAGGUCCCAAAGUCAUGGUUAAGUGGGAAACGAUGUGGGAAGGCCCAGACAGCCAGGAUGUUGGCUUAGAAGCAGCCAUCAUUUAAAGAAAGCGUAAUAGCUCACUGGUCGAGUCGGCCUGCGCGGAAGAUGUAACGGGGCUAAACCAUGCACCGAAGCUGCGGCAGCGACGCUUAUGCGUUGUUGGGUAGGGGAGCGUUCUGUAAGCCUGUGAAGGUGUGCUGUGAGGCAUGCUGGAGGUAUCAGAAGUGCGAAUGCUGACAUAAGUAACGAUAAAGCGGGUGAAAAGCCCGCUCGCCGGAAGACCAAGGGUUCCUGUCCAACGUUAAUCGGGGCAGGGUGAGUCGACCCCUAAGGCGAGGCCGAAAGGCGUAGUCGAUGGGAAACAGGUUAAUAUUCCUGUACUUGGUGUUACUGCGAAGGGGGGACGGAGAAGGCUAUGUUGGCCGGGCGACGGUUGUCCCGGUUUAAGCGUGUAGGCUGGUUUUCCAGGCAAAUCCGGAAAAUCAAGGCUGAGGCGUGAUGACGAGGCACUACGGUGCUGAAGCAACAAAUGCCCUGCUUCCAGGAAAAGCCUCUAAGCAUCAGGUAACAUCAAAUCGUACCCCAAACCGACACAGGUGGUCAGGUAGAGAAUACCAAGGCGCUUGAGAGAACUCGGGUGAAGGAACUAGGCAAAAUGGUGCCGUAACUUCGGGAGAAGGCACGCUGAUAUGUAGGUGAAGUCCCUCGCGGAUGGAGCUGAAAUCAGUCGAAGAUACCAGCUGGCUGCAACUGUUUAUUAAAAACACAGCACUGUGCAAACACGAAAGUGGACGUAUACGGUGUGACGCCUGCCCGGUGCCGGAAGGUUAAUUGAUGGGGUCAGCGCAAGCGAAGCUCUUGAUCGAAGCCCCGGUAAACGGCGGCCGUAACUAUAACGGUCCUAAGGUAGCGAAAUUCCUUGUCGGGUAAGUUCCGACCUGCACGAAUGGCGUAAUGAUGGCCAGGCUGUCUCCACCCGAGACUCAGUGAAAUUGAACUCGCUGUGAAGAUGCAGUGUACCCGCGGCAAGACGGAAAGACCCCGUGAACCUUUACUAUAGCUUGACACUGAACAUUGAGCCUUGAUGUGUAGGAUAGGUGGGAGGCUUUGAAGUGUGGACGCCAGUCUGCAUGGAGCCGACCUUGAAAUACCACCCUUUAAUGUUUGAUGUUCUAACGUUGACCCGUAAUCCGGGUUGCGGACAGUGUCUGGUGGGUAGUUUGACUGGGGCGGUCUCCUCCUAAAGAGUAACGGAGGAGCACGAAGGUUGGCUAAUCCUGGUCGGACAUCAGGAGGUUAGUGCAAUGGCAUAAGCCAGCUUGACUGCGAGCGUGACGGCGCGAGCAGGUGCGAAAGCAGGUCAUAGUGAUCCGGUGGUUCUGAAUGGAAGGGCCAUCGCUCAACGGAUAAAAGGUACUCCGGGGAUAACAGGCUGAUACCGCCCAAGAGUUCAUAUCGACGGCGGUGUUUGGCACCUCGAUGUCGGCUCAUCACAUCCUGGGGCUGAAGUAGGUCCCAAGGGUAUGGCUGUUCGCCAUUUAAAGUGGUACGCGAGCUGGGUUUAGAACGUCGUGAGACAGUUCGGUCCCUAUCUGCCGUGGGCGCUGGAGAACUGAGGGGGGCUGCUCCUAGUACGAGAGGACCGGAGUGGACGCAUCACUGGUGUUCGGGUUGUCAUGCCAAUGGCACUGCCCGGUAGCUAAAUGCGGAAGAGAUAAGUGCUGAAAGCAUCUAAGCACGAAACUUGCCCCGAGAUGAGUUCUCCCUGACUCCUUGA